GCUUGUUCAAUCCUUGGUGAUCAAUCGUGGCCACGACUACGAUCCAGUAAUUAGCAACCUAUAUUUAAAUCUGUGCAAUGAACACCAAGGGUCGGCAGCAUGGCAGUGACCGGUCUGUGCAAUGAACACUUGGUCAGGUAUGGGCCAACAAUCUCCAAUCCUUGGUAAGGCCUGUACCCUUGGCUCUCCACGUCGAGAUCAGCGAGGGAAUCAACCUCUCUGAUGUGGGGAGCGAGAGGGGAAUCAUCGCAAUUCACUUUCUGAUGUUACCAAUCGAUUCCCUAGAUGUGCAUGACAACUCUUGCAUCACUGCUCUAAUUGCACCUCGACAAGUGGCAGAAGAAGAGCCUCUGUUCUCCGGUGACUUAGUGCUACUCAGGUACGCUUUCUGUCACAUUCUUUUAUUUUUCUGCUAUCUAUGCUAUGUUGCAGAAAACUUAAAAGACAUGGAUAUUUCUGUUGGUCUCCAUAUUAAUCCAUAUCUCUUUAAUUCUACCAUCAUCCAGCUUCUCUCUGACUCAUCAGGAGGAUAUGGUGGUCUCCGGCUUGAUGCUGCAGCUGGUCACACGUUUGCUUCAACUGAUUGAGUUGAUGUGCCUGCAUGAUUUAUUUUCCAAGAAUAGAAUAA
rnacentral:lncRNA from 1 species